rnacentral:rRNA from 1 species
AACGAACGCUGGCGGCAUGCCUAACACAUGCAAGUCGAACGAGACCUUCGGGUCUAGUGGCGCACGGGUGCGUAACGCGUGGGAACCUGCCCUUAGGUUCGGAAUAACUCCCCGAAAGGGGUGCUAAUACCGGAUAAUGUCUUCGGACCAAAGAUUUAUCGCCUUUGGAUGGGCCCGCGUUGGAUUAGCUAGUUGGUAGGGUAAAAGCCUACCAAGGCGACGAUCCAUAGCUGGUCUGAGAGGAUGAUCAGCCACACUGGGACUGAGACACGGCCCAGACUCCUACGGGAGGCAGCAGUGGGGAAUAUUGGACAAUGGGCGAAAGCCUGAUCCAGCAAUGCCGCGUGAGUGAUGAAGGCCUUAGGAUUGUAAAGCUCUUUUACCCGGGAUGAUAAUGACAGUACCGGGAAAAUAAGCUCCGGCUAACUCCGUG